rnacentral:lncRNA from 1 species
UGGUAGGGUUUAGGGAUAGGUNNNNNNNNNNNNNNNNNNNNNNNNNUACUACUAACUGAAGAUCUAAAGAGUGCUCCUUUUCUUACACACAAAGAAGCCUACAUUUGUAUCUCUCAGCUAUUUGAAGCUGCAGGUUUCUAACAUUAUGUCCUCUCUCUUGUACUGUCUCUCUUUUAGAAACAAGGAACGUGAAUUGUAUGAAAACCUAGCCAAAGGAAAGAAAGAUGUGAAGAAGCAGAAGUCAGAUGAGAAGAAGAGUGGCUCCACUAACAUUGGAAACAUCACUGGGCUCCCCCAGAGUCGCCGACGACCCCAAGUGGCUGCCCGGAGUGAGAUUAAAACUUUGAGCGAGAUGAAUGAACUUUCCCCCGCCUCUCUCUUCUCGGUAUGUGGUACAGAACACAGUCUGCUCUCCAAACAGCGUUAGUGAAGGAGAGCGAGAGAAACUUUGAACACUUUUGUGUGUGUAAUGUUUACUGUUAAUUUCUGAUUGCUUAUUUCACUUUUGUUGAAUGUUUUUCACGUUUUGGCAAUGUAAGCAUAUGUUUCCCAUGCCAAUAAAGCAAUUGUAAAUAGAGAGAUGGAGAGAAUAGCGUUUAAUUAACGCGGAAAGGGCACAUACCUACCCAGUUCCCAUUUUAGGAAGAGGAUUAGUGGAACAAAAGCUGUUUGCAUAAAGCUCCGUAGGGAGGAGUUUACGCAGAGGGAGCGAAUAGGGAUUGUAAAGGGUUGUGCAACGUUUGCAUCAGGGAAUCGAUACCCGGGAAUUGAAGGAGUGAAGGGAGCAGAGGACAGUCAUUGUGGAUACAACCGCCACUCUAAAACAUUCCAGCAAUCAUUCCUUUAUCGAGUUGCAGUUUUGCGUAAAGCCGCAUACCUUCCGACUGACACUAGCAGACAAAAGGUUAGCUCACAGGUUGCAUAAGUGUUAUUAUUAUCAAACAAUGCGGUAGUGGUGAGAGCAGUGAAAAGAGCAGAGAAAGAGAGUAUCUGUAGAGAAGAGGCAACACUGUGGGUUACAGUUUUCUUUGUUGAGUUCCUCU